rnacentral:rRNA from 1 species
CCUACGGGCGGCUGCAGUGGGGAAUAUUGCACAAUGGGCGCAAGCCUGAUGCAGCCAUGCCGCGUGUGUGAAGAAGGCCUUCGGGUUGUAAAGCACUUUCAGCGGGGAGGAAGGCGGUGAGGUUAAUAACCUCAUCGAUUGACGUUACCCGCAGAAGAAGCACCGGCUAACUCCGUGCCAGCAGCCGCGGUAAUACGGAGGGUGCAAGCGUUAAUCGGAAUUACUGGGCGUAAAGCGCACGCAGGCGGUCUGUCAAGUCGGAUGUGAGAUCCCCGGGCUCAACCUGGGAACUGCAUUCGAAACUGGCAGGCUAGAGUCUUGUAGAGGGGGGUAGAAUUCCAGGUGUAGCGGUGAAAUGCGUAGAGAUCCGGAGGAAUACCGGUGGCGAAGGCGGCCCCCUGGACAAAGACUGACGCUCAGGUGCGAAAGCGUGGGGAGCAAACAGGAUUAGAUACCCUUGUAGUC